UGUAGAUAUGGAUACAGUCCCCCAAAUACUUCAAUAUUAUUCACAAAAAUUCACUAUUUCUUUACAAUGCCAAUUGUAACUUCCUCACAAUUGUAACUUCCUUACAAUUUCUUUUCAGAUAAAAUUCAUUUAUGAUGAAAUGAAAAACAUCACCGGCAUACCAUUUGAUGAGUUCCUACAAAUACAUACACCUGUGCGAUUCAAACCCCUAUCAAGGUGAGCCCCCUGAAGGAUUCUUCAGAGAGCAAGACACUGAUUAACACCAAGCCUGCAGAGAGGUGGGCUAAGCCCAAGAUCAAGGGUACAGGCACCAAUGACU
rnacentral:lncRNA from 1 species